rnacentral:rRNA from 1 species
AGAGUUUGAUCAUGGCUCAGAGUGAACGCUGGCGGUAGGCCUAACACAUGCAAGUCGAACGGCAGCACAGUAAGAGCUUGCUCUUAUGGGUGGCGAGUGGCGGACGGGUGAGGAAUACAUCGGAAUCUACCUUUUCGUGGGGGAUAACGUAGGGAAACUUACGCUAAUACCGCAUACGACCUUCGGGUGAAAGCAGGGGACCUUCGGGCCUUGCGCGGAUAGAUGAGCCGAUGUCGGAUUAGCUAGUUGGCGGGGUAAAGGCCCACCAAGGCGACGAUCCGUAGCUGGUCUGAGAGGAUGAUCAGCCACACUGGAACUGAGACACGGUCCAGACUCCUACGGGAGGCAGCAGUGGGGAAUAUUGGACAAUGGGCGCAAGCCUGAUCCAGCCAUACCGCGUGGGUGAAGAAGGCCUUCGGGUUGUAAAGCCCUUUUGUUGGGAAAGAAAAGCAGUCGGCUAAUACCCGGUUGUUCUGACGGUACCCAAAGAAUAAGCACCGGCUAACUUCGUGCCAGCAGCCGCGGUAAUACGAAGGGUGCAAGCGUUACUCGGAAUUACUGGGCGUAAAGCGUGCGCAGGCGGUUUUGUAAGUCAGAUGUGAAAUCCCCGAGCUCAACUUGGGAACUGCGUUUGAAACUACAAGACUAGAAUAUGUCAGAGGGGGGUAGAAUUCCACGUGUAGCAGUGAAAUGCGUAGAGAUGUGGAGGAAUACCAAUGGCGAAGGCAGCCCCCUGGGAUAAUAUUGACGCUCAUGCACGAAAGCGU